rnacentral:rRNA from 1 species
UGUGCCAGCAGCCGCGGUAAUACGUAGGUGGCAAGCGUUGUCCGGAUUUACUGGGCGUAAAGGAUGCGUAGGCGGAUAUUUAAGUCAGAUGUGAAAUACCCGGGCUCAACUUGGGUGCUGCAUUUGAAACUGGAUAUCUAGAGUGCGGGAGAGGUAAGUGGAAUUCCUAGUGUAGCGGUGAAAUGCGUAGAGAUUAGGAAGAACACCAGUGGCGAUGGCGACUUACUGGACCGUAACUGACGCUGAGGCAUGAAAGCGUGGGGAGCAAACAGGAUUAGAAACCCGAGUAGUCC